rnacentral:rRNA from 1 species
UGGGGAAUUUUGGACAAUGGGCGAAAGCCUGAUCCAGCAAUGCCGCGUGUGUGAAGAAGGCCUUCGGGUUGUAAAGCACUUUUGUCCGGAAAGAAAUCCUCUGGGUUAAUACCUCGGGGGGAUGACGGUACCGGAAGAAUAAGCACCGGCUAACUACGUGCCAGCAGCCGCGGUAAUACGUAGGGUGCAAGCGUUAAUCGGAAUUACUGGGCGUAAAGCGUGCGCAGGCGGUUUUGUAAGACGGAUGUGAAAUCCCCGGGCUUAACCUGGGAACUGCAUUCGUGACUGCAAGGCUAGAGUAUGGCANGGGAGGGUAGAAUUCCACGUGUAGGCAGUGAAAUGCGUAGAGAUGUGGAGGAAUACCGAUGGCGAAGGCAGCCCCCUGGGCCAAUACUGACGCUCAUGCACGAAAGCGUGGGGGAGCAAACAGGAUUAGAUACCCUGGUAGUCCACGCCCUAAACGAUGUCAACUAGUUGUUGGGGAUUCAUUUCCUUAGUAACGUAGCUAACGCGUGAAGUUGACCGCCUGGGGAGUACGGUCGCAAGAUUAAAACUCAAAUGAAUUGACGGGGUCAUA